AGGCAGGGUCGGCGUGGCAGCCGUCUGGAGGAAGAGGUGGAGUCAGGGGAAUCCCGGCCGCACCCCCGCCCGCCUCCCCCUGGCCCCGGAGCGCCUUGCCCCGCUCACCCGGGCUGCAGCAGAGGCCCAAGACCGCGCAGCGGCCCCCGCUCCCGCACGCCUUCUGGCCGGACUGGCAGGGCGACGGCAGGGAACCCAACCUGUAGGGAACCCAACCUGAGGCAGAAUGGAAGAAAUGAGAAGCACUGUGAGAGACCAGCCUCACUGGUGGGCCAGUCCCCGACCCCUGGGAGAAGAGAACGGGACAGCUCCAGACUCUCCUGCCCUCUUGUUGAGGAAGGUGAAGAGGCUGAUGGGGCCAAGCAGGUCACAGAGCUCAUCUGACCCUAGUCACUGGCAUGAGUCACUGGCAUGAGCUGUCCAGCACCCAGGAGCCGGUCAGGCUGACCUGCAUUACAAAUCAGCAGCCAGUCCUCUCUCACCCAGAUUAGCUUAUUGGCAUUCAGGGCCUAGAAGUCCAAGGGCCUGACCCAGCAGUGGCCCAGAGAGGUCUCUCACCUGCUCUGUGGGCACGAUGACCUCACUUAAGCUAACACAUGUGCAUAAAUUACCAUAGUAUUAUGUCCCCCAGAUGGGCUGCAUCCCUUCACCUGUUCAACAACCCCUCUUCUGAAGAUGCUCCGGGUCCCAUUACAAAUGCCUGGAAACAGCAGCAACAAAACACAAAAACCUCUGCCCUCAUGGGGCUUAUAUUCUAGUGGAGGAAGAGAGAUGUUAAACAAUAAACACAUUUCAGUUAGUUAGGAAACAAGUAUAAACAAUAAACAUACUUCAGUAACAACAUACAUAUUGCAGUAGAUUAGUAAGUGCUACAGAGAUAAAAGGGAGGCCUGUUGCGAUUUCACCGAGGGUGGUCAGUGUAGACUUCUUUGUGAAGAAGAGAAAAUAAACCAUGCAGAUAUCUGAGGGGACAUUGGUUUUCUGUUGCUGUGUAACAAAUUACCACAGGCCAGGCACGGUGGCUUGUGCCUGUAAUCCCAGCACUUUGGGAGUCUGAAGCGAGAGGAUCACUUAAGCCCAGGAAUUAGAGACCAGCCUGGGCAACAUAGGGAGACCCAGGCUCUAUAAAAUGUUUUUAAAAAAUUAGCUGGGUUUGUUGGCAUGCACCUGCAGUCCCAGCUACUUGGGAGGCUGAGACAGGAAGAUCACUUGAGCCCAGGAGUUCGAGGCUGCAGUGAACUAGGAUGAUGCCACUGCACUCCAGCCUAGGCGACGGAGCGUGACUCUGUCUCAAAACGAAAACAAAAACACAAAAGCUACCACAAUUUGGCAGCUUAAAACAACAUUUGCUUAUUACAUUGGGCCAGGCAUGGCUUAGCUGGGUCUUUUGCUCUGGGGCUACGAUCAGGGUGUCAGCCAGGCUGCAUUCAUUUCCAGAGCCCGGGUGAUUGUUAGCAGAAUUCAUUUCCUUGCAGCUGUCAAACUCGUGGUGGCCUGCUUCUUCAAGGUCAGGAACAGAGAGAGUCUCUGCUGCUUCAAGUCUAAGCACACAGGGAGUCCUUUUCUGAGGGGCACCUGACCUGAUUAGGUCAGACCCACACGGAUCACCACCCUUUUAACUCGGAUUGAUCAGGUGUCUUCAUUACAUCUGCAGAAUCCCCUCACCUUUGCCAUAUAACGUAGUAUAGUCGUGGUUAUCACCUUUGUCAUCUUCUUCUAAUGUUUAGAAGAAAGUUGGCUGGGCACAGUGGGCCACGCCUGUUUUUGUUUUUGUUUUGAGACUGAGUCACGCUCCGUGGCCCAGGCUGGAGCGUGGUUGGCUGGGCGCGCUGGCUCCCAGCACUUUGGGAGGCCAGCGGUGGGUGGAUCACUUGAGGUCAGGAGUUCGAGACCAGUCUGGCCAAUAUGGUGAAACCCCGUCUCUACUAAAAAAAAUACAAACAAAUUUAGCCGGGCGCAGUGGUGGAAGCCUUUAGUCCCAUCUACUCGGGAGGUGGAGGAACCCAGGAGGUGGAGGUGGCAGUGAGCCGAGAUCACGCCACUGCACUUCAGCCUGGGUGACAGAGUGAGACUCUGUCCGUCUCAAAAAAAAAAAAAAAAAGCUAUGGGUUCUACCCACAUGAAGCCAGAAAAGAUUACACAAAGGUAAUCAUUGUGUAAUCCACAGAAAGAUACCAGGGGCUGAGAAUUUCAGGGAUCCACUUUAGCAUUCUGCCUGUAAUGGAGGGGAGGAAAUGACAAGUGCUGAGGUCCUGAGGCAGGAAUGUGCCUGGCAUGUUCAAGGAGCAAGGAGGCCAGUGGUCCUGGAGCAGAGUGACUGAACUCCCGAGAUCGGAAAGGUAACGUGGGACUGCACCUCACAGGGCUUGGGCUUUUCCUCCAAAUGAAAUGGGGGAAUGAGAGGGAGUUCUGAGCCAGCUUACGAUAACUUUGGAUAUAGUGCUGUGACAAGACUGUGGGGAACCAGGCGCGGUGGCUCACACCUGUUAUCCCCGCACUUUGGGAGGCUGAGGUGGGUGGAUCAUGAGGUCAGGAGAUCAAGACCAUCCUGGCUAACAUGGUGAAACUCCGUCUCUACUAAAAAUACAAAAAAAUUAGCUGGGCAUGGUGGCUGGCGCCUGUAGUCCCAGCUACUCUGGAGGCUGAGGCAGGAGAAUCGCUUGAACCCGGGAGGUGGAGGUUGCAGUGAGCCAAGAUCGUGCCACUGCACUCCAGCCUGGGCGACAGAGCGAGACUCCUUCCAAAAAAAAAAAAAAAAGACUGUGGGGAAACUAGGGAGGAGGCUAUGCAGCAAUCCCUGUGAGUAAUGGGAGUGCAAUGUGUGUGUCGAGAAGUGACCUGAUUCUUGGUGCAUUUUAAAGGAGAUACCAACUGCAGUUUGCUGAUGGAUUGGAUGUGAGUGGGAGAGAAAAAGAGGAGUCGAAGAUGACUUCAAUAUUUCUGGUCUGGGCCGGGUGGGAUGGCUCAUGCCUGUAUUCCCAGCUACUCGGGAGGCUGAGACAGGAGAAUCACUUGAACCUGGGAGGUAGAGGUUGCAGUGAACUGAGAUAGCACCGUUGCACUCCAGCCUGGGUGAAACAGUGACUCUGUCUCAAAAAAAAGAUUUCUGGGCCAGGAGUAGUGGCUCAUGCCUGUAAUCCCAGCACUUUGGGAGGCCAAGACUGGGGGGUCACCUGAGGUCAGGAGUUUGAGACCAGCCUGGCCAACAUGGUGAAACCUCGUCUCCACUAAAAAAUACAAAAAUUAGCCAGGCAUGAUGGCGUGUGCGUGUAGUCCCAGCUACUAAGGAGGCUGAGGCAGGGGAAUCACUUGAACCCGGGAGGCAGAGGUUGCAGUGAGCAGAGAUGGUGCCACUGCACUCCAGCCUGGGCAACAGAGCGAGACUCUGUCUCAAAAACAAGAACAAAAACAAAACAAGAUUUCUGGCUUGAGCAAUGGGAAGGAUGAAGGUGCCAUCAGCUGGCAUGGGAACCUGAGGGUGGCACUGAUUUGAGUUGGGAAGAGCAGGGGCUCAGUGCGGACCUGUCAUGUUUGGGAUGCCCGCUACACAUCCAAGAAGAACCUGAGCAGGCAUUUGGAGGUGUGUCUGGAGUUCAGGAGAGAGGUCUAGGCUGAAGCAAUGGUCAGUACCAAUAUUUAUUUAUCUUAUUUAUUUAUUGAGACAGUUUCGCUCUUGUUGCCCAGGCUGGAGUGUAAUAGCACAAUCUCAGCUCACUGCAGCCUCUGCCUCCCGGGUUCAAGCGAUUCUCCUGCCUCAGCCUCCUGAGUAGCUGGGAUUACAGGCAUGCACCACCACGCCCAGCUAAUUUUGUAUUUAUGGUAGAGACAGGGUUUCUCCAUGUUGGUCGGGCAGGUCUCAAACUCCCGACCUCAGGUGGUCUGCCUGCUUUGGCCUCCCAAAGUGCUGGGGUUAUAGGCGUGAGCCACCGCGCCCAGCCAGUACCAAUAUUUAAAGGCCCCACCAGAGUGACAUCACCCUGGGGCAGGACAGAUGGAGAAGAGGACCAAGGAUCCCACUCUAAGCAAGGUAGGGGGAAACAAGCAGGGGUCUGAGGACAGGGUUUCACGGAGGAGGAAGUGUGCCAGAUGCCAAAGGACAUGUAAGGGAGGGACUGAAACUUGAACUUCUUUAUUUAAAAAACUCCAGUGAAGUGCAAUUUACAGAUCGUAAUUUGUACGCACUCUAAGCGUACUGUUUGGUGAUUUUUGGUAAAUUCAAACAGUUGUCCAGCCACUCCCACAAUCCAGUUUUAGAAUACUCUGUCCCCAUGUCAAGUUCCCCCAUGCCCAUUUGCCUUACUGCUGGCUCCCACCCCAGCCCCCAGGAAACCACUGAUAAAGAUUUGCCUUUUCUAGAAAUGUCACCUAAAUGGAACAAUACAGUACUUGAUCAUUUAUGUCUGGCGUUCUGAGGUUCAUCCAAGUUAUUUUGUGUAUCAGUAGUGAAACUACCGAUGCAAAAUUCUAGCUGAGACAGUGAAAGAGAUCUGUCCUAGCCAGUUCCAUCUUGCUUUAACCUCCACGCUGUCCUUGUUCAAUCCUGGGCGUAGGCUGAACUUACUUUGGGAUGAACUUAGUACAUAGUUUAUAGUUUAAAACAAAGGCAGUAACAGCCCUUUCCCAAACCAAACCUCCUUCUUGCCUGGGGACUAGACUGCCUUGGUAGAACUAACAUAUUAGCCACAAGAUUAGAAAUUAUGGUUUAGGAGUCAUGCAGCUGGAGGCUAGAAGAUUCUGACCCUCUCCAAAUUGCUCCUGGGGAUAGCAUCACUAUUGUCAAACCUAAGAUCAGUGCUUGAGAUAUUUUGCAGACCUGCACUCUAUGGAUCAGUUAGCACCACCCAGAUCAAUAAACUGGCUCAUCUGAUAUUGUGGCCCCCACCCAGGAACUCACUCAAUGCAAGAGGACAGCUUCUUCUCCACCCCAGCCAAUAAACACUCCUGACCCAAUGACUGCCCCGCCACCCAGCACAUUAUUCUUAAAAACUCUGAUUCCUGAAUGCUCAGAGAGACUGUUUUGAGCAAUAAUGAAACUUCUGUCUCCUGCCCACCUGGCUCUGAGUGAAUUACUCUUUCUGUAUUGCAAUUCCCCUGUCCUGAUAAAUUGGCUGUCUAGGCAGUGGGUAAGGUGAACCUGUUGGGCGGUUACAGUAGUUCAUUCCUGUUUCAUUCCUGUUUAUUGUUUUUCUUUUUUUUCUUUUCACUUUGUUGCCCAGGCUGGAGUGCAGUGGUGCAAUCUCAGCUCACUGCAGCCUUGACCACCCAGGCUCAAGUGAUCCUCCCCCUUCAGCCUCCAGAGUAGCUGGGACUACAUGUGCGCACCACCACGCCUGGCUAAUAUUUGUAUUUUUUGUAGAGGGUCUCACUUUGUCACCCAGGCUGGAGUGCAGUGGCAUGAUCAGCUCACUGCAACCUCUGCCUCCCGGGUUCAAGUGAUUCUCGUGCCUCAGCCCACAAAGUAGCUGUGAUUACAGAUGUGAGCCACGAUGCCUGGCUAAUUUUUGCAUUUUUUGUAGAGAUGGGGGUUUCACCGUGUUGCCCAGGCUGGUCUUGAACUCCUGAGCUCAAGCAAUCCGCUUGCCUUGGCCUCCCAAAGUGCUAGGAUUACAGGCGUGAGCCGCUGUGCCUGGCCUCAUUGUCAUUUUUAUUUGCAUUUUUCUGAUGAUUACUAAUGUUGAGCAAUUUUUUCAUAUACCUGUUGGCCAUUUGUAUGUCUUUUUUUAUGUUAUUUUAUUUUUAUUUAUUUAUUUUUAAAAAAAUUUUUUAGUAUUUAUUGAUCAUUCUUGGGUGUUUCUCGGAGAGGG
rnacentral:lncRNA from 1 species